rfam:Rhodospirillales bacterium RIFCSPLOWO2_12_FTLL_67_15 rifcsplowo2_12_scaffold_60086, whole genome shotgun sequence.
CCGCGGGCCACGACCUCCCAACGGGUCGCGCCCUUCUGAGAGGAAGGGACUA